rnacentral:snoRNA from 1 species
AACCCAUGAUGUGGAAGAUCGAUCAGAAAAUCUUUGAACCUCUCCCAAGCAGCGUGUAGAGAUUCACCUUCAUCCUGUUUGAAUGUUAUGAUACGAUUCUUUAGCUU